rnacentral:tRNA from 1 species
GGAGAGAUAGCUCAGUGGUUAAGAGCACUGGCUGCUCUUCCAGAGGUCCUGAGUUCAAUUCCUAGUACAUCUG